rnacentral:lncRNA from 1 species
UUGCGAAGCGCCUAUGGUUACAGGAGCCACACAAGUCUGGCUCUUCCAUAAACACCGCUUGAUCCUGGGGCUAACAGUGCCUGGUACACACUGGACAGCCAACAAAUACUGUCCUGUGGAGGAACGGAUGUGGACUAGGUUCUAGAAAGGAAAAACAAAAAACAAAAAACGACACGACAACUUAGAGAUGGUCUUCACGGAGCUUGGACUCAAGGGAGGAUGAAACCUGGACAGUUCGUUCUGAAAAGAGUCCCUUCAGGUAUCUAGUAACCUGGCAAGAGAAAACUCUGGACCAUGGCUAGGACUUGGUACCUGUCAGUCUUCCUGGAGGACGCUCUGGCUGAGCCUUUCACUGCAGGAACAUGGAGCCUAUUUCUGAGGGAGAAGACACCGAAAGCAUAGCAGCGUCAAGGUAGUUUGUGAGCUACAGGAUGGAAAGCAGCUGGUCGUCUUCACUUAAGGACCUUGCCUCCGUGUCUCAAUACCACACUUCUCAUGAGCAAAGCUUCCCAGAGAAGCUGGACAGGAACGCAGGGGUCCUCCUAAUGCUACCUUCUCCAACUCUAAUGAGAAGGAUUUACCUCAACCAGCAGGGAUCCAGAAGUCCACGUUGUUAAGUGCACAGCCCAUGGGGUGGUUGUUCUUAGGAGAGAGGUCUAUUAAUCCUCUCCUACCAGGUCCAACCAUGGUCAUUAUCCAUAGUCUUCUCAAAGAGGACAGUCAGCAGUGAGGUACUACUCAACGGGACAGGAGCCUAGAGAUACUGUUGCUGUUUAGGACAGAUGACAUUUACUUCAGGGGGAACUGAUCACAGUCUAACCAGCCUUGAGUAUAUCUGAGAGACAGAAGGGCCCCAGAGCUCUGCAAAGGGAGAAGAAGAAGAAGAAGAAGAAGAAGAAGACAUAAGACAGUUUUGACCACCAAGCCAGGCAUCAAGUUAGGAUGAACAAAGGACCGCCAUCUGUCUGUAACUGAUAUAAGAACACCACCAUCAAAAAGGACUUCUAGGUACUGUCUGAAUUCUCUGUGAAGUGGAUAUUAUGGAUACACAUACAUAACUUUAAUCUGAACAUUUGAAAGAGAGAGGCAGGCGAGUCUCUAUGAGUUCAAGGCUUCUCUAAAUUGCAUGUUCUAGGCUAGCCAAGUCAUCAUAAUGAGAUUCUAAAACACAAAACCAAACUAAACCAACAAAAGUGAUUAACAGAAAGAUUUUGUUAAGGGCUCGGCCUAUAAGAGAAUAUAGGGAGGAAUCAAGAAAGCCCAAGGGACAAGGUUGACAGCUUGGCAUCCUUUGUGAAGGAG